rnacentral:rRNA from 1 species
AGCAGCCGCGGUAAUUCCAGCUCCAAUAGCGUAUAUUAAAGUUGUUGCAGUUAAAAAGCUCGUAGUUGAAUUUCGGGAUCAAAUUGUCGGUCGUGCCUCGGUACGCACUGGUAUUAUUGGUUCCUACCUUCUGAAGAACCGCGAUGUCAUUAAUUUGGUGUCGUGGGGAAUCAGGACUGUUACUUUGAAAAAAUUAGAGUGUUUAAAGCAGGCUUACGCUUGAAUACAUUAGCAUGGAAUAAUGAAAUAGGACGUUUGAUUCUAUUUUGUUGGUUUCUAGGAUUGACGUAAUGAUUAAUAGGGAUAGUUGGGGGGCAUUAGUAUUCAAUUGUCAGAGGUGAAAUUCUUGGAUUUAUUGAAGACUAACUACUGCGAAAAGCAUUUGCCAAGGAUGUUUUUCAUUAAUCAAGAACGAAAGUUAGGGGAUCGAAGACGAUCAGAUACCGUCGUAGUCUUAACCAUAAACUAUGCCGACUAGGGAUCGGAUGAUGUUAAUUUUUUUAAUGACUCAUUCGGCGCC